UCACUUUAGGAUGAGCCCGCGGCGCAUUAGCUAGUUGGUGGGGUAAAGGCCUACCAAGGCAAUGAUGCGUAGCCGAGUUGAGAGACUGAUCGGCCACAUUGGGACUGAGACACGGCCCAAACUCCUACGGGAGGCAGCAGUAGGGAAUCUUCCACAAUGGACGCAAGUCUGAUGGAGCAACGCCGCGUGAGUGAAGAAGGUCUUCGGAUCGUAAAGCUCUGUUGUUGGUGAAGAAGGAUAGAGGCAGUAACUGGUCUUUAUUUGACGGUAAUCAACCAGAAAGUCACGGCUAACUACGUGCCAGCAGCCGCGGUAAUACGUAGGUGGCAAGCGUUGUCCGGAUUUAUUGGGUGUAAAGCGAGCGCAGGCGGAAUGAUAAGUCUGAUGUGAAAGCCCACGGCUCAACCGUGGAACUGCAUCGGANACUGUCAUUCUUGAGUGCAGAAGAGGAGAGUGGAACUCCGUGUGUAGCGGUGGAAUGCGUAGAUAU
rnacentral:rRNA from 1 species